rnacentral:rRNA from 1 species
GCCUACAACAUAGCGUUAAUGCACUGGAUCCCAUUAGAACUCUGCAGUUAAGUGCACUCAGGCUAGAGUAGUACUGGGAUGGGUGACCGCUUGAGAAGUUCCAGUGUUUUAUAUGCC